rnacentral:rRNA from 1 species
CGCGAAUGGCUCAUUACAACAGCCAUAAUCUACUUGAUCUUGACACAUCCUACAUGGAUAACUGUGGUAAUUCUAGAGCUAAUACAUGCAACAAAGCUCCGACCUCCGGGGAGGGGUGCAUUUAUUCGAGGAAAACCGGUACGCUCCUUCACAGGGUGUUACGUUGACCCAGAGUAACUUAGCUGAUCGCAUGGCCUUGUGCCGGCGACGUGUCUUUCGAGUGUCUGCCCUAUCAACCUUCGGCGGUAGUGUAUCGGACUACCGUGGUGGUGACGGGUAACGGAGAAUCAGGGUUCGACUCCGGAGAAGGGGCCUGAGAAAUGGCCACUACGUCUAAGGAUGGCAGCAGGCGCGCAAAUUACCCACUCUCAGAAUGAGGAGGUAGUGACGAGAAAUAACGGGGCCGCCGCCUUCGGGUGGUCGGCCACUGGAAUGGGUACAACUUAAACCCUUUAACGAGUAUCAAGCAGAGGGCAAGUCUGGUGCCAGCAGCCGCGGUAAUUCCAGCU